GGCCGUGUGGUGUAGUGGUAGCAUACUUGCUUUGGGAAUUCUGACUUCUUCUCUUCUUAGAAGAUUGCAAGUGGUCCUGGGUUCAAAUCCCAGCCCGGCCC